UGGUGGACGUGCAGGUGAAUGAACCGGUGCUGUUGCGGCUGAUCUGGUUAGGUCCUGUGAUGGUGUCGCUGGCAUAGAUAUGUUGGCAGAGGUGGCAUUGAGGUUUGUUGUAUUUUAAAGCUGUCUUC